rfam:Penicillium vulpinum strain IBT 29486 PENVTL_contig001, whole genome shotgun sequence.
ACAUACGACCAUAGGGUGUGGAAAACAGGGCUUCCCGUCCGCUCAGCCGUACUUAAGCCGCACGCCGGUGAGUUAGUAGUUGGGUGGGUGACCACCAGCGAAUCCUCACUGUUGUAUGUU